rnacentral:rRNA from 1 species
AGCGAACGCUGGCGGCAUGCUUAACACAUGCAAGUCGCGCGGGUGGUUUCGGCCAUCAUCGGCGGACGGGUGGGUAUCGCGUAGUGAUGUAUCCCGAGGUGGGGGACCACCCUGGGGAACUGGGGCUAAUACCGCAUGUGGCCUGUCGGCCUAAGCAUUAGAGCGACUUGUGUGCAGCCUGCGUCCGAUUAGGUGGUCGGUGGGGUAAAGGCCUACCAAGUCUGAGAUCGGUAGCUGGGCUAAGGGUACGGUCCGCAACACUGGGAGUGGGACCCGGCGGGGACUCCUACGGAUGGCAGCAAGGGGGAAUAUUGGACGAUGGGCGCGAGCCUGAGGCAGCAAGGCCUCGUGGGUGAAGUAGGUCUGCAGAUUGUAAAGCCCUGUCGGCAGGGAAGAUGAUGACGGUACCCGCAGAAGAAGCCCCGGCUAACUUCGUG